GGGCCGCUAGCUCAAUGGUAGAGCAAGGGACUUUUAAUCCCUAGGUUACAGGUUCGAGCCCUGUGCGGCUCA
rnacentral:tRNA from 1 species